CAAACCACUGCCAAUGCUAGGGCUACCAGCGCCGUGAGUACGCCUACAAUGAAGGACAUCAGACAGCAAACUUUAUGCCCAAGUUAAACAUUGCGAGCUAACUACUCAAAGCCCCAAAUUCCUGAUGUGCCGCAGCAACCUGGAUAUGUGGUCGUGGCACAUCUGUUGUGUUUGGGCACAUACCAACCAACAGAACAACUGGAUACACAUACUGUAGGCACACAGCUAUCCUUAAAGACUCUGCGGCCCCACUUUAGAAGUGAAGGUGUCCAGGCAACUGUCUCCUGCAAAGAUUUCAGUGUUGGGACGUCCAAUGCAGACCCUUUGUGCCUGUCAUCGACACCUAUAGAAAGACCAUCCAAAAGACCUCGUAUAGACCUCGAUGAACAGCUUUAAACCCUACGUAGUGGCCUUCCUCAUCAGGAAACUUUGAGCAGAUGCGCAGGAUCACCCAAGCUAGAAUAACGGCCCGGAUUCUGCGUCCCAGGAUCCCCCAGCACCAGCUCACAAAUGAAGAAUAGAGAUACCUGUAGCAACCGAACAAUUGAUUCUGAUAUUUAGGCGACUAUUUAUUAUUGAUUUGUGUUAUUGUUACAGUAUGUAAACAAAUAUUCAUAUGCUCCUAUGGAUCAUCUUCAAUGCUUGUUUUGUAUUUCCUCUGUAAAUAAAU